UUAAAGUGUCUUGGCUAAGGUGUCUUGGCUAAGGUGUCUUGGCUAAGGUGUCUUGGCUAAUGUGUCUUGGCUAAUGUGUCUUGGCUAAGGUGUCUUGGCUAAGGUUUCUUGGCUAAUGUGUCUUGGCUAAAGUGUCUUGGCUUAAGUGUCUUGGCUAAUGUGUCUCGGCUAAGGUGUCUUGGCUAAGGUGUCUUGGCUAAGGUGUCUUGGCUAAGGUGUCUUGACUAAGGUGUCUUGGCUAAGGUGUCUUGGCUUAUGUGUCUCGGCUAAUGUGUCUUGGCUAAGGUGUCUUGGCUAAGGUGUCUUGGCUAAUGUGUCUUGGCUAAGGUGUCUUGGCUAAGGUGUCUUGGCUAAUGUGUCUUGGCUAAAGUGUCUUGGCUUAGGUGUCUUGUCUAAUGUGUCUCGGCUAAGGUGUCUUGGUUAAGGUGUCUUGGCUAAGGUGUCUUGGCUAAGGUGUCUUGGCUAAUGUGUCUCGGCUAAUGUGUCUUGGCUAAGGUGUCUUGGCUAAGGUGUCUUGGCUAAUGUGUCUUGGCUAAUGUGUCUUGGCUAAUGUGUCUCGGCUAAGGUGUCUUGGCUAAAGUGUCUUGGCUAAGGUGUCUUGGCUAAUGUGUCUCGGCUAAUGUGUCUUGGCUAAGGUGUCUUGGCUAAUGUGUCUCGGCUAAUGUGUCUUGGCUAAGGUGUCUUGGCUAAUGUGUCUUGGCUAAUGUGUCUUGACUAAGGUGUCUUGGCUAAUGUGUCUUGGCUAAGGUGUCUUGGCUAAUGUGUCUUGGCUAAGGUGUCUUGGCUAAUGUGUCUUGGCUAAUGUGUCUUGACUAAGGUGUCUUGGCUAAUGUGUCUCGGCUAAUGUGUCUUGGCUAAGGUGUCUUGGCUAAUGUGUCUCGGCUAAUGUGUCUUGGCUAAGGUGUCUUGGCUAAUGUGUCUUGGCUAAUGUGUCUUGACUAAGGUGUCUUGGCUAAUGUGUCUCGGCUAAUGUGUCUUGGCUAAGGUGUCUUGGCUAACGUGUCUUGGCUAAUGUGUCUUGGUCAAGGUGUCUUGGCUAAUGUGUCUUGGCUAAGGUGUCUUGGCUAAGGUGUCUUGUCCAAGGUGUCUUGGCUAAGGUGUCUUGGCUAAUGUGUCUUGGCUAAGGUGUCUUGGCUAAGGUGUCUUGGCUAAGGUGUCUUGGCUAAGGUGUCUUGGCUAAGGUGUCUUGGCUAAUGUGUCUUGGCUAAUGUGUCUCGGCUAAUGUGUCUUGGCUAAUGUGUCUUGGCUAAUGUGUCUUGGCUAAGGUGUCUUGGCUAAUGUGUCUUGGCUAAGGUGUCUUGGCUAAGGUGUCUUGGCUAAUGUGUCUUGGCUAAUGUGUCUUGGCUAAGGUGUCUUGGCUAAGGUUUCUUGGCUAAUGUGUCUUGGCUAAAGUGUCUUGGCUUAAGUGUCUUGGCUAAUGUGUCUCGGCUAAGGUGUCUUGGCUAAGGUGUCUUGGCUAAGGUGUCUUGGCUAAGGUGUCUUGACUAAGGUGUCUUGGCUAAGGUGUCUUGGCUUAUGUGUCUCGGCUAAUGUGUCUUGGCUAAGGUGUCUUGGCUAAGGUGUCUUGGCUAAUGUGUCUUGGCUAAUGUGUCUUGGCUAAGGUGUCUUGGCUAAGGUGUCUUGGCUAAUGUGUCUUGGCUAAAGUGUCUUGGCUUAGGUGUCUUGUCUAAUGUGUCUCGGCUAAGGUGUCUUGGUUAAGGUGUCUUGGCUAAGGUGUCUUGGCUAAGGUGUCUUGGCUAAUGUGUCUCGGCUAAUGUGUCUUGGCUUAGGUGUCUUGUCUAAUGUGUCUCGGCUAAGGUGUCUCGGCUAAUGUGUCUUGGCUAAGGUGUCUUGGCUAAGGUGUCUUGGGUAAUGUGUCUUGGCUAAUGUGUCUUGGCUAAGGUGUCUUGGCUAAGGUGUCUUGGCUAAUGUGUCUUGGCUAAUGUGUCUUGGCUAAGGUGUCUUGGCUAAGGUUUUUUGGCUAAUGUGUCUUGGCUAAGGUGUCUUGGCUAAGGUGUCUUGGCUAAUGUGUCUUGGCUAAUGUGUCUUGGCUAAAGUGUCUUGGCUUAGGUGUCUUGUCUAAUGUGUCUCGGCUAAGGUGUCUUGGUUAAGGUGUCUUGGCUAAGGUGUCUUGGCUAAGGUGUCUUGGCUAAUGUGUCUCGGCUAAUGUGUCUUGGCUAAGGUGUCUUGGCUAAGGUGUCUUGGCUUAUGUGUCUCGGCUAAUGUGUCUUGACUAAGGUGUCUUGGCUAAGGUGUCUUGGCUUAUGUGUCUCGGCUAAUGUGUCUUGGCUAAGGUGUCUUGGCUAAGGUGUCUUGGCUAAUGUGUCUUGGCUAAUGUGUCUUGGCUAAGGUGUCUUGGCUAAGGUGUCUUGGCUAAUGUGUCUUGGCUAAAGUGUCUUGGCUUAGGUGUCUUGUCUAAUGUGUCUCGGCUAAGGUGUCUUGGUUAAGGUGUCUUGGCUAAGGUGUCUUGGCUAAGGUGUCUUGGCUAAUGUGUCUCGGCUAAUGUGUCUUGGCUAAGGUGUCUUGGCUAAGGUGUCUUGGCUAAUGUGUCUUGGCUAAUGUGUCUUGGCUAAUGUGUCUCGGCUAAUGUGUCUUGGCUAAGGUGUCUUGGCUAAGGUGUCUUGGCUAAUGUGUCUCGGCUAAUGUGUCUUGGCUAAGGUGUCUUGGCUAAUGUGUCUCGGCUAAUGUGUCUUGGCUAAGGUGUCUUGGCUAAUGUGUCUUGGCUAAUGUGUCUUGACUAAGGUGUCUUGGCUAAUGUGUCUUGGCUAAGGUGUCUCGGCUAAUGUGUCUUGGCUAAGGUGUCUUGGCUAAGGUGUCUUGGCUAAUGUGUCUUGGCUAAGGUGUCUUGGCUAAUGUGUCUUGGCUAAUGUGUCUUGGCUAAGGUGUCUUGGCUAAGGUGUCUUGGCUAAUGUGUCUUGGCUAAUGUGUCUUGGCUAAGGUGUCUUGGCUAAGGUGUCUUGGCUAAUGUGUCUUGGCUAAUGUGUCUUGGCUAAUGUGUCUUUUCUAAGGUGCCUUGGCUAAGGUGUCUUGGCUAAUGUGUCUUGGCUAAUGUGUCUCGGCUAAUGUGUCUUGGCUAAGGUGUCUUGGCUAAGGUGUCUUGGCUAAUGUGUCUUGGCUAAGGUGUCUUGGCUAAUGUGUCUUGGCUAAUGUGUCUUGGCUAAGGUGUCUUGGCUAAGGUGUCUUGGCUAAUGUGUCUUGGCUAAUGUGUCUUGGCUAAGGUGUCUUGGCUAAUGUGUCUUGGCUAAUGUGUCUUGACUAAGGUGUCUUGGCUAAUGUGUCUCGGCUAAUGUGUCUUGGCUAAGGUGUCUUGGCUAAUGUGUCUCGGCUAAUGUGUCUUGGCUAAGGUGUCUUGGCUAAUGUGUCUUGGCUAAUGUGUCUUGACUAAGGUGUCUUGGCUAAUGUGUCUCGGCUAAUGUGUCUUGGCUAAGGUGUCUUGGCUAAUGUGUCUCGGCUAAUGUGUCUUGGCUAAGGUGUCUUGGCUAAUGUGUCUUGGCUAAUGUGUCUUGACUAAGGUGUCUUGGCUAAUGUGUCUUGGCUAAGGUGUCUUGGCUAAUGUGUCUUGGCUAAGGUGUCUUGGCUAAUGUGUCUUGGCUAAUGUGUCUUGACUAAGGUGUCUUGGCUAAUGUGUCUCGGCUAAUGUGUCUUGGCUAAGGUGUCUUGGCUAAUGUGUCUCGGCUAAUGUGUCUUGGCUAAGGUGUCUUGGCUAAUGUGUCUUGGCUAAUGUGUCUUGACUAAGGUGUCUUGGCUAAUGUGUCUCGGCUAAUGUGUCUUGGCUAAGGUGUCUUGGCUAAGGUGUCUUGGCUAAUGUGUCUUGGUCAAGGUGUCUUGGCUAAUGUGUCUUGGCUAAGGUGUCUUGGCUAAGGUGUCUUGUCCAAGGUGUCUUGGCUAAGGUGUCUUGGCUAAUGUGUCUUGGCUAAGGUGUCUUGGCUAAGGUGUCUUGGCUAAUGGGUCUUGGCUAAUGUGUCUUGGCUAAGGUGUCUUGGCUAAGGUGUCUUGGCUUAUGUGUCUCGGCUAAUGUGUCUUGGCUAAGGUGUCUUGGCUAAUGUGUCUUGGCUAAUGUGUCUCGGCUAAUGUGUCUUGGCUAAUGUGUCUUGGCUAAUGUGUCUUGGCUAAGGUGUCUUGGCUAAUGUGUCUUGGCUAAUGUGUCUCGGCUAAUGUGUCUUGGCUAAUGUGUCUUGGCUAAUGUGUCUUGGCUAAGGUGUCUUGGCUAAGGUGUCUUGGCUAAUG